CCUCUUCAGGCUGCCCUAGCAGCUAGAGAUCUUAUUGAUACACAGAAAGUGAAAGCAAUUAUAGGACCUGAUACAUGGAAAGAGACAACUUUAGUGGCUGAUAUUUGUAGCCAAAAUAUGACCCCAGUUCUAUCUCUAGCUGAUGCAACUCCAAAUUGGUCAACUUUGAAGUGGCCCUACCUUGUGCAAAUCUCACGUAAUCAGUUUAAGCAGAUGAAAGCAGUAGCAGCUAUUGUACAAUCCUUUGAAUGGUACAACGUUAACAUAAUAUACGAUGAUACUGAUUCUUCAUCCACGAGAAUGUUCUCUCAUCUCUAUAGAGAUCUCAGUGUGUCAGGUAUUCAUAUAAGCAAUGUUUUGACCAUCCCUCCGUUAAGCUCCU
rnacentral:sRNA from 1 species